UAUGCGUGAGAGUGUGUUUAUCAUAAAAUUUCAAUAAAGUAUUCUUCUCCAUAUGAGUAAUGACUUAUUGUCGCUUAUUGGAGGAGGAAUUAACUGGAUAAGAAACACAAUAAAUCGAGAUAAAUUGGGUAUAUGCCGACUCUGUUGGAUGAUGAUAGUGUUAAUUGACUAAAAACAAAAACGAGACUUAAAGAUCGUGGAUCAUUUCAACUUGGAAUAGAAACAUUUCAUUGGGUUGCUAACCUAGAAUGAUAAAUUGUCAAGCAAUGAGGUAAAACAUUAUGGUGAAUGGAAACAACAAGACGAAUGGAAACAUCAUGAUGAAUAGAAGACUAUUGUUGGCGAAUCCAAAUGUUCAGGAGUCAGCGCAAUGGCAAACUAUUGCCAACUUCUUGGAAAACACCGCAGAAUCCGUACUUGAAUACCCAGCACCACCCCCAAGAAACUAACUAUGUGACCAGCAGUAUCGAAAUGCCACUGAAGCCAAGAAUGCAGCAUAUGUAGGCAAACCUUACAGUCAGUGGUCUAAUAUGGUCAUUGAAUUCAUCUUUACUAAUACAAUAUUUUAUUUGGUGUUUAUUUAAAAAUUAUUGCAUUAAAAACUAUUUUUUUCUAUUUUCGUUUAAUGGCCAUCAGUCUAGACAAUGUUACUGUGAGCUGCGUUGCUAAUGAUCACAUAUUGAACUUUUGGCAUUUAAUUGCAAGUCAUUAUAUACCCUGCAACAUUAUUUUUCUUAUUGUGUUUACAAAUGAGCUCUAAACAAUUUAGCAGACUAUAUUAAAUGACAUGGAAAUUUCCUGGCACUUCCAGUAAACAAAAAAGAAAAAAAACGACUACUACAAAAAAAGCCAGAUUGUCUAGGGAACUGUUCAAAAGAAAUUCCGCGAUGAAGGGGCACGGGGCCACACACGGUGGCGAUUGGAAAAUUUUCAAGCUAAUGUAAUUUUGCACGAUUGCCAUUAAAGUAAAAUAAUAUUUUUAGGUAUUUAUUUGUAGAAGGCGACAGCCAAAAAGUACUGGAUAGACAAGAGGCGAGGGAAAAAAUUAACGGAAAAAAGUUUCCAAUACAAGUCUUUUUAUAACGGUAACGCCGUUUACCAACCUGCCCAAACAAUACGAGGAAAUAAGUGAAAAUAUAUAUAUGAACCGCCAUAGCUGAUAUCAAAGAGAGAGAGUGAGAGAGAGAGGUGCGAGAGUAAAAAUGUAUGCCUCAGGGCAUUAAUAAUUAUGUUCGAUUACCGCGUCCGCCUUGUUCCUGGAAAUGAAAGUAGGCGCCUCAAGUAAGCGCCGUCAGCGAUUGUGCGAUAUGGACUGCCAUUGAUGGCCACAUAUUAGUCAUUUGAAUAAAAUUCAAAACUCAUUGUUGCCCGCAGUAAGCUACCAACAGUAUGUUGAAAGCAUUAUUUUUAUAACAUAGCACAGUUGCCGUUGUUGUUGUUGUUGUUGUCAAUAAAUACCAAUUUAUAUCAAUUAA